UUGGUAAUUUGUAAGGUGAAAUUGUAAUUUUCGUUUUGGGGGUAAAAUGAUCAUUUUUUUAAGUUUCCGUUAAUUUUCUUAACGGAUUCCAAACGGAAGUGGAAAAGUGAAACAAAAUGUAACUUUAGGUGGAUUCCAGCCAAAAAAUGAAGGAAUUGUGUAUUUUUUAAAAAGGUGUAAAAAACAGGUGGACGGUGGAUAUUUUCCCUAUUCUAAAUUAUCCCAUUGAAAAGUUUUUUUUGGGCAAGAGCUUAAUUAUUAUUGUAAUUUUAUUUGGUUGAUAUUUAAUGCAUCAGUAUAUUUGAGGCAGGGAAGCAUUUCAUUUUCAGAUGACAAGUGAUGUUAUAAAGAGAAAUGACAUCCUUCACAACUUUAUGCCAACGUCGUCUCAACUUUAUGUCCCCAUUCUUUGUUAUUUUACACGAAAAGAAACAACAAUUGUCUAUUUGUGAACAUAUUUUUUUUUUCUAGAAAAUCUUCCCAGUUGCCACAAAAUGCUUUUCAAUCAAUAAUUUUAGGAACAUACGUAGGAACUAUGAACUUAGGUCAUGUUUAAAAGCUUCUGUUUGCAUUGUUAGGGUGUUCUUCUGUGUCAUUAUCUGAAAAUGAUAUUCUCCUAUAUCGAAAUUUUAAGUAAUUAAAAAUAUAUUUCCUUUUGCUUUUGGAAAAAUGGAAUAUAUAAAAUAUAUAUGAAACGUAAUUCUACAAUAUAAUUUAGGGUCAGUUUUGUAAUACUGUAACAUCUAAGAUAAGGGCGGAGAUUUUUGUAAAAGAGUUGUAGAAUUAAUUAGAUGCAAAACGAAUCGGUUAAAUGUUUAGUAAAUUUUAUUUUUAAGAGUGUAG
rnacentral:lncRNA from 1 species